rnacentral:piRNA from 1 species
UAGUGGAUGACCAUGAUGUGGUGAAGCCUU